UCCAGGCUUGCUCAGUAGCGGCGAGUGAGCGGCAAGAGCUCAGAUUUGAAAUCUCACCUAGUGUGCGAGUUGUAAAUUGCAGGUUGGAGUCUCGGGUUAGACGUGUGUGCAAGUCCCUUGGAACAGGGUGCCACUGAGGGUGAGAGCCCCGUAGCGUGCAUGUCGACACCUGUGAGGCCCUUCUGACGAGUCGAGUUGUUUGGGAAUGCAGCUCUAAGUGGGUGGUAAAUUCCAUCUAAGGCUAAAUAUUGGCGAGAGACCGAUAGCGAACAAGUACUGUGAAGGAAAGAUGAAAAGCACUUUGAAAAGAGAGUGAAACAGCACGUGAAAUUGUUGAAAGGGAAGGGUAUUGGGCUCGACAUGGGAUUUACGCAUCGUUGCCUCUCGUGGGCGGCGCUCUGGGUUUUUCCUGGGCCAGCAUCGGUUUUCGUUGCAGGAUAAGGACAAUUGGAAUGUGGCUCCUCGGAGUGUUAUAGCCUUUUGUAGAUGCUGCGUAUGGGGACCGAGGGCUGCGGCGGACUCGUUUCGUCUCGGAUGCUGGCACAACGGCGCAAUACCGCCCGUCUUGAACCACGGAC
rnacentral:rRNA from 1 species